ACUGGUCCAAGUAUCUUUUAGAAAUUGGGUAUGUUAAACCAGUGCUUCAUCAUCACUGUGACAGAUACCCCGUAGGUGGGGCUGAAAUACGUUGGGUAUCCUUCCUUUUGCCUUUUUUUGGUAUGUUACAUAAAACAAGCGUUUUUUCAUAUAAUGGAGUGCUCUAUUCCUUUUAGUUUUUUCUUAUUUGUUACUCGUUGUCACUGUGGGAAUGCCAGAGGGUGCAGCCCCUGAUGGCGGCCCUGUUUACUGUAACAGAGCCUAGUGAAUGAGAGAGUUAAUAUCUGUGUUCUGCACUCACUGAAUUCACUGCUUCUCGGCAGGCAAAAGAGAGCAUGAGGAUUUCUUAUCUACUCUAAGGUAGAGCCUUGCCAGGGCACCUCACAGAGGAAGCAGCCUCCCACAUUUAUGUCAUCAGUGCACACAGUUGUAAAGCGAUCCUUCUGGGUACAGCAGCACACUAAAGCGUCUGUACGACUCCGACACUCGCACAUCUCUCCCUUCUGCUAGACAAGAAAAAAUCUGGACAAUGUUACCUGGAUUUUGCACCUUCAAGGGAAUUGCACGCACCCUGGGAAUGGCAAUCAAUGAUCGUCCAGACCUG